CCGGAUUUCUAAAGUCAACAUUUGUAGUUGUUUGUCUCAAAUCAAAAGUAAAAAAAAUAAAGAAGAUUAUCCAAGCAAAACUGCAAAAGUAGUUGCAAGUGACUCUGCAUUCUGCAACGCGAUGGGAUCUUCCUUUCCACUGAAAUUCGCCUUAUUCUUCUCCCUCUCCCUCGGCGCCGCCGCCGUUCCUCUCUCACUCCCGCGAAAUCUCACACCCAAAUCCUCCUCCAAUUCUCGUCCUCUCAAAGCCACCACCUCGGACUUGCUUUCCCUCCUUGGCUCACCUCAACAGGCCGCCUCCGUCAACUCGGUAGUCGCCCGACAACUCCGCUCAUGCUUCAAAUUCCUAGCCCCCUUCAAUCAAACCCUACCAACUCGCCGAGCACUCGCUUCUCAACUCAAUACGCCAUUGACCCGGACCGCAGAGGAAAUCGAUCACCUGAUUUUGUCGCCGCCGCCGCCUGUAUUGGAGCUGGCGCGACUCGCGGUCGACUCCGGCGGUGACCCUGGGGCUAUUCACCGAGCUCUUGAUCCGACUAUUAUAACCGUUCCUGAUGUAGAAGGAUCAAACGAGGACCGUUGUGAGCUUACUAGAUAUCCUUAUGGCUGGCGAUUCAUUGAUGAGGCCUUGAAUUCUUACAUUGAGUUCUUGUUUGAAAUUAUUGUCGAGCGUGGUCCGGGAGUAGGCCUCAAUGUGUCUUUAAGCCGCUAUGAUUUUUUCCAUGGUCACCUUUUCCUUGCCAAGGAGUCUGGAAGACUUGGCAUUUUGUUUCAUGCUAAAGAGUACCCUGCCUAUGACAAAGAACUUUUUCCUUGCAACAUGGGCUAUUGCCAAGUCGGAUCCAACGUUGAUUAUGACGAUUCAAUGAACUUGAGAAAUAUUUUAUGGCUUGCUCCUUUGCCGAAUGAUUCCAGUAAAGCAUGGGAGGCACCAGGAGUCCUUGUUGUCUUGGACGCGCAUCCUGAAGGAAUAAUUUACCGGGAUCUCAUACCUGAAUAUGUUCAUAUUGCAAGGACACUAUACGAAGAUGAUUUUGGGGAAGUUGUGGUUGAUGUCAACUAUCUGAACGUGGGAGGUAAAACAACUAAAUUCCAACUCUUCGUAUGCUGAGACAUCAUGAAGAAUGAGAAACAGCGCAACAAGAAUUGCACUUGGACCUCGAUAGUAGUGGAUUCAACUUGCAGGAUUCAAUCAAUCGAAGAAAACAACACAACAACUCCUGCAACGAGUGAAGGCGCUGCAGCCGCGAGUGUAGGGAUUGGCCUGAGCUCCAGGGCGGCAGUUGUAGUACGAGGAGCCGCGCCGCGAGCACGGGAUACUGUUCCUCCGCAGCGCAUCAUAGCUGAUGAA